GCCUCUUGUCCACCUCUCCUCUCUUUCAUUCUUCCUCUUUCGUUUGACGCUAACAGCCUUCCAGUCAACAUGACCGCUGCGAGAGAACUGUGAUCGGCUUCAUACUCAUCCUCAUCCUCGCACCAGGUACAUAACAAAUCAUCAAAGCCGGGAUUAAAAUUUCGUGAAGGAGCAGCUUUGACUGCUGGAAGACUUAAGCGUAUUAGCUUUAAAAC
rnacentral:lncRNA from 1 species